AUUCCCCAUAUUAGGACACCCCCAUGCUCAGUACUAUAAUUUAAAGAAAUCGCCUACCUCUCCUGAUCGGGCACCGGGCUCCUGAUCAGGCACCUGCUACUCUGCA